rnacentral:lncRNA from 1 species
GCAAGGCGAUUCCUAAGCAAACUGCAUACCAAAAUACAAAGCCAAACAGAGAAUCAGGGGCAAUCAUGAGAGGCAACGACCUCGAGAAUUGACCGCUCACACUAAACCAACUCAGCUGACCUAGAGAAAGGUCCAAUCAACAAAGAGCCCGCAAAACGCUCGAAAGAAGACAGCCCAUAAAUAUUCAGGGGCAAAAAACAUACACAAGAGUCCAACGCUCAGGCAAAAAUAAUAAAAAGGCAAGAGAGGGAUACUUUCGACAGGAGCAGUU